ensembl:lncRNA LINC00393 long intergenic non-protein coding RNA 393
GAAACAGUCCAGGUGUUCAUGUGAAUGCUAGAACGGACAUCAUCCCUUCCUGCGAUGGCAGGGGCUGUCACAGAUCUUCUUUAAGGGAUUGUGUCUCUGAGCUGGGGAGUCAUUGUGUCACCCACAUUGGUGGGUUAGCUUUACAAAGAGUUAUGUUGCCACAUUGCUGGGUCACAUUAUCCUGCCUCAUCCCUGCCAAAGGGAUCCCAGGAGGAUACAUUGGAUGAAAACCAAUAUUCACUCUAACAAGCACUUACUGAAAUUCCAUUAGGUGCGAAGAACCAUGGAUAAGGUAAACAUCAAGUUCUCACUGAAAUGGCUCCAACUUUCCCGGGCAUGGGGAAGAGAACCUCAAACAAAAAAUCACUCUUCAAGGCCGCUGAAUAAUAAACAUGCCAGAAGAGUCUAAUUCCAUGCAGAGAAAGGAAACAUUGGCCCCUAGGUUUGGAGGUCAACUGCAGUGAGGUCUCUAUACCACAGAGUGGUGAGUCCCCAAGUCCCGGUGAACUUAGGAAAUGGGCAUUAUCCUCUGGAAGACGUUUAUAGAGGUGACUUUUUUGAUGAGGACACCGAGGCAUCAAAAGAAACAUUAAGAAGAUGGAAAUUCUAUCGUAGAGUAAAAUUACAGUGUAUGCUUUGUGAUGCAGUAGUAACAGGUGGAAUUCAAACACUUAAAGAACAAAUUCACCUCAAAGUUAUCUUCCUUUUGGUAGGAGUUUGAAAAAUCUGAACUCCAUCUGAUUUGAUAAAGCAAUUACAGACAAUCAUUUUCCCCUCAAAGUCUGCAUAUUUGACUAAGCUAUAAUCUAAAGAAUCUUCUAGGACUUUGGGAAACUUCUUAGAGGAAAUUUGCAAUUUUGGAGACAUAAAAAUAAAGACAGUGCAUAUUUUAAAGUCAUGGAUCUUCAAAUGAGUAUGCUGAAGCUAACAUUAAUUGCCAAGCUACUCAUCAUCGUGCAGGAAAACUGAUGAUUUUUAAUGAUAUUUUCUCUUUAGUAUAAUUUUGGUUGGAUGAUAAUAAGUUUUUAAAUAAGGUCUUUUCUGGACACCCAUUCAUGUAGACUCCAGUUCCAACCUUAUCAGAGCUGUGAUUUGUCGAUCGUCAGAGCAUGAGUUCUUUGAACAAAAAGGUACACAGCCAAUUACAACUAAACAAACCAACUAAUUACAAUAAUAACUUUGAAAAGCUCUACCCUAGACCGGGUGCUCUCAUUCUCUGGUCAGAAGAUUCUUGGAGCCAAUACAAAAAACAUUUCAAAUCCAUGCGCUUACCAAGCAAUGUCUCUGUGCUAAACAAGUAAUCUUAUGCAAAUACCUGUGCCAUCUCCUAAAAACAUAUUCAGUUAGUUUUACGUUUUAAUAAAUAGAAAACAUUUAAGGGUUACUAAA